rnacentral:rRNA from 1 species
GACAGAGGGUGCAAACGUUGUUCGGAAUUACUGGGCGUAAAGCGCGUGUAGGCGGUUGCCCAAGUCGGGUGUGAAAGCCCUGAGCUCAACUCAAGAAAUGCACUCGGUACUGGGUGACUAGAGGACCGGAGAGGAUAGUGGAAUUCCCAGUGUAGUGGUGAAAUACGUAGAGAUUGGGAAGAACACCAGUGGCGAAGGCGGCUAUCUGGACGGUUUCUGACGCUAAGACGCGAAAGCGUGGGGAGCAAACAGG